rnacentral:rRNA from 1 species
GACGAACGCUGGCGGCGUGCUUAACACAUGCAAGUCGAACGGUAAGGCCCUUCGGGGUACAUGAGUGGCGAACGGGUGAGUAACACGUGGGUGAUCUGCCCUGCACUUCGGGAUAAGCCCGGGAAACUGGGUCUAAUACCGGAUAGGACCACUGCCUGCAUGGGUGGUGGUGGAAAGCUUUUGCGGCGUGGGAUGGGCCCGCGGCCUAUCAGCUUGUUGGUGGGGUGAUGGCCUACCAAGGCGACGACGGGUAGCCGGCCUGAGAGGGUGACCGGCCACACUGGGACUGGGAUACGGCCCAGACUCCUACGGGAGGCAACAGUGGGGAAUAUUGCACAAUGGGCGCAAGCCUGAUGCAGCGACGCCGCGUGAGGGAUGACGGCCUUCGGGUUGUAAACCUCUUUCAGCACCGACGAAGCGCAAGUGACGGUAGGUGCAGAAGAAGGACCGGCCAACUACGUGCCAGCCGCCGCGGUAA